rnacentral:antisense_RNA from 1 species
GAUAGCCAUAAAUCACCAAGGGAUUGAGGGUAGGAUUUGUCACUACUCUAACAGCAUGAAUUGUCGAGUCGUAUAGUCCUCCCCAGAACAUUGCUUUACUCACAAGCAAUAAGGCGGCUAUACCCAAAAAUAAAAGAUGAUGACCUAAAAUCAAGCCAAGUUGUUUGGCAUCAUCCCA